rnacentral:pre_miRNA from 11 species
UCUCCAAGAAUUUGGGUGGUCGCAAAUCCCGGAUGAGCUCCCAACUGAAAGACCCCCAGAGUGGGGAGACCCUCACUCAAGCCUCAUGAUAAGCCAACACCCGAAUAAUUCAAGAGAGGCC